AGUGAACGCUGGCGGUAGGCCUAACACAUGCAAGUCGAACGGCAGCACAGUAAGAGCUUGCUCUUACGGGUGGCGAGUGGCGGACGGGUGAGGAAUACAUCGGAAUCUACUUUUUCGUGGGGGAUAACGUAGGGAAACUUACGCUAAUACCGCAUACGACCUACGGGUGAAAGCAGGGGAUCUUCGGACCUUGCGCGAUUGAAUGAGCCGAUGUCGGAUUAGCUAGUUGGCGGGGUAAAGGCCCACCAAGGCGACGAUCCGUAGCUGGCCGAGAGGGCGGACAGGCACACCUGGAACGGGGCCACGGCCCGGCCCCCUAGGGGAGCCGCCAUUGGGGAUUUUUGGCCAAGGGGGGCACCCUUGUUCCGGCCAGCCCGCGUGGGGGAAGAGGCCCUCCGGUUUGUAAACGCCUUUUUUCGGGAAGGAAAACCCUGGGGUUAUUCCCCCGGGGGGAUGACGGUACCGGAAGAAUAAGCACCGGCUAACUACGUG
rnacentral:rRNA from 1 species